rnacentral:misc_RNA from 1 species
AUAGCAUACAGAUUCUUUAUCUUAUUAGUUUAUAUAUAAUAUAGAAUCUUUUAUUAUUUAACGUUGAUAACAAGAUCUACAAGACUUAAAAACACAUAAUUUUAACAUAUAGUAAACAACAAGGUGUAAUUCCACCACAAUUUGUUGCACAAACUGCUAAAAUAACUUAUAACAACUUAUUCUGGUGAUCUGGGAAUUGGGAAAUGUUCUUGAGCAGCAUCAGACCUUUAUCAGGACGCUUUGUCCUUUGGCGAUGACGGAAGCAACUGAUAACAUGAAAUCAGCGAGCUAACGAAGCCAAAGGCUCCCGUUACACGAGGGGUGACUUUCUUGGGUGCCAAUUGAAG